GAAUUCGCCCUUAGAGUUUGAUCCUGGCUCAGGACGAACGCUGGCGGCGUGCUUAACACAUGCAAGUCGAACGGAGCACCCUUGAAAGAGAUUUCGGUCAAUGGAUAGGAAUGCUUAGUGGCGGACGGGUGAGUAACGCGUGAGGAACCUGCCUUUCAGAGGGGGACAACAGCUGGAAACGGCUGCUAAUACCGCAUAACACAUAGGUGUCGCAUGGCAUUUAUGUCAAAGAUUUAUCGCUGAGAGAUGGCCUCGCGUCUGAUUAGCUAGUUGGUAGGGUAACGGCCUACCAAGGCGACGAUCAGUAGCCGGACUGAGAGGUUGGCCGGCCACAUUGGGACUGAGAUACGGCCCAGACUCCUACGGGAGGCAGCAGUGGGGAAUAUUGGGCAAUGGGCGCAAGCCUGACCCAGCAACGCCGCGUGAAGGAAGAAGGCUUUCGGGUUGUAAACUUCUUUUAAGAGGGAAGAGUAGAAGACGGUACCUCUUGAAUAAGCCACGGCUAACUACGUGCCAGCAGCCGCGGUAAUACGUAGGUGGCAAGCGUUGUCCGGAUUUACUGGGUGUAAAGGGCGUGUAGCCGGGCCGGCAAGUCAGAUGUGAAAUCCCAAGGCUCAACCUUGGAACUGCAUUUGAAACUGUAGUUCUUGAGUACUGGAGAGGCAGACGGAAUUCCUAGUGUAGCGGUGAAAUGCGUAGAUAUUAGGAGGAACACCAGUGGCGAAGGCGGUCUGCUGGACAGCAACUGACGCUGAGGCGCGAAAGCGUGGGGAGCAAACAGGAUUAGAUACCCUGGUAGUCCACGCUGUAAACGAUGGAUACUAGGUGUGGGGGGACUGACCCCCUCCGUGCCGCAGUUAACACAAUAAGUAUCCCACCUGGGGAGUACGAUCGCAAGGUUGAAACUCAAAGGAAUUGACGGGGGCCCGCACAAGCGGUGGAGUAUGUGGUUUAAUUCGAAGCAACGCGAAGAACCUUACCAGGGCUUGACAUCCCGGUGACCGCUCUAGAGAUAGAGCUUUCUCUUCGGAGACACUGGAGACAGGUGGUGCAUGGUUGUCGUCAGCUCGUGUCGUGAGAUGUUGGGUUAAGUCCCGCAACGAGCGCAACCCUUAUCUUCAGUAGCCAGCACGUAGAGGUGGGCACUCUGGAGAGACUGCCAGGGAGAACCUGGAGGAAGGUGGGGAUGACGUCAAAUCAUCAUGCCCCUUAUGUCCAGGGCUACACACGUGCUACAAUGGCGUAAACAAAGGGAAGCGAACACGCGAGUGUAAGCGAAUCUCAAAAAUAACGUCCCAGUUCGGAUUGCAGUCUGCAACUCGACUGCAUGAAGCUGGAAUCGCUAGUAAUCGCGAAUCAGAAUGUCGCGGUGAAUACGUUCCCGGGUCUUGCACACACCGCCCG
rnacentral:rRNA from 1 species